rnacentral:tRNA from 2 species
CAUUAAGUGGCUGAAAUGUAAGCAUUGGUCUCUUAAACCAAAUAAUAGUAUAAUAAUUCAUACUCUUAAUGA